AAGCUUUUGAGUUGUUUUGCUGGUCUCUAGGGACAUUGUGCACGCUUCAUUAGUUUCCACUUCAUACCCCUGUGCACCUUUGAUAGAUUUCGGUUUGGGUUAUCCUUUGGUUUUUUUCCUCAUUUGAAAGGCCUUUGGUUUCCUUAAAACGACUUCUAUACUAUACCACACACCAAAUGUAUGUUUUAUAAUGAAUGGUUUAUAAUGACAAGGCCAUGAGCCUUAUAAACUUAAUACAACUUUCAACAACGGAUCUCUUGGCUCUCGCAUCGAUGAAGAACGCAGCGAAAUGCGAUAAGUAAUGUGAAUUGCAGAAUUCAGUGAAUCAUCUAAUCUUUGAACGCACCUUGCGCCCUUUGGUAUUCCGAAGGGCAUGCCUGUUUGAGUGUCAUUAAAUUCUCAAACUCUAUGACUUUAUUGUUGUAGCUGUUUGGAUUG
rnacentral:misc_RNA from 1 species